GUGGGGAAUAUUCCGCAAUGGACGAAAGUCUGACGGAGCAACGCCGCGUGAGUGAUGAAGGUUUUCGGACUGUAAAGCUCUGUUGUUUAGGACGAAAGUGCCUGUUGCAAAUAGUUACAGGUAUUGACGGUACUGAACGAGGAAGCCACGGCUAACUACGUGCCAGCAGCCGCGGUAAUACGUAGGUGGCAAGCGUUGUCCGGAAUUAUUGGGCGUAAAGAGCAUGUAGGCGGGAAUCUAAGUCUGUUGUGAAAAUGCGGGGCUCAACCCCGUAUUGCGAUGGAAACUGGGUGUCUUGAGUGGAGGAGAGGAAAGGGGAAUUCCCAGUGUAGCGGUGAAAUGCGUAGAUAUUGGGAGGAACACCAGUGGCGAAGGCGCCUUUCUGGACUGUGUCUGACGCUGAGAUGCGAAAGCCAGGGUAGCGAACGGGAUUAGAAACCCGAGUAGUCC
rnacentral:rRNA from 1 species